GUGCAGCAGGCGCGAAACCUCCGCAAUGCGGGAAACCGCGACGGGGGACCCCGAGUGCCGUGGCAACGCCACGGCUUUUCCGGAGUGUAAAAAGCUCCGGGAAUAAGGGCUGGGCAAGGCCGGUGGCAGCCGCCGCGGUAAUACCGGCGGCCCGAGUGGUGGCCGCUAUUAUCGGGCCUAAAGCGUCCGUAGCCGGGCCCGUAAGUCCCUGGCGAAAUCCCACGGCUCAACCGUGGGGCUUGCUGGGGAUACUGCGGGUCUUGGGACCGGGAGAGGCGGGGGGUACCCCUGGGGUACGGGGUGGAAAUCCGUAUAAUCCCCAGGGGGACCGCCAGUGGCGAAGGCGCCCCGCUGGAACGGGUCCGACGGUGAGGGACGAAGG
rnacentral:rRNA from 1 species